rnacentral:lncRNA from 1 species
GGCGUUAUAAUGCAGGAUUCCAAUGUAUUUACUUGUGAUAGUGUUGAUAGAUGGAGUAUAGAAAUCAUCCUUUUUUCAUCAGACAAACCUUACUAGAAAAGUUUGUUAUCAAAUUUUCAAAAAUGUUCUUCUCAUUUCCUUAUUGUAUUUACAAUUAAAAAAAAAACAAGACAAUCAACCAUAGACAAAACAACAAAUAACUAAAC